CAUUACUUUAAGACAUGAAGGUCAGUCAAUACAACAGUCCAUCAUUACUUUAAGACAUGAAGGUCAGUCCAUCAUUACUUUAAGACAUGAAGGUCAGUCCAUCAUUACUUUAAGACAUGAAGGUCAGUCCAUCAUUACUUUAAGACAUGAAGGUCAGUCCAUCAUUACUUUAAGACAUGAAGGUCAGUCCAUCAUUACUUUAAGACAUGAAGGUCAGUCAAUACAACAGUCCAUCAUUACUUUAAGACAUGAAGGUCAGUCCAUCAUUACUUUAAGACAUGAAGGUCAGUCCAUCAUUACUUUAAGACAUGAAGGUCAGUCCAUCAUUACUUUAAGACAUGAAGGUCAGUCAAUACAACAGUCCAUCAUUACUUUAAGACAUGAAGGUCAGUCCAUCAUUACUUUAAGACAUGAAGGUCAGUCCAUCAUUACUUUAAGACAUGAAGGUCAGUCAAUACAACAGUCCAUCAUUACUUUAAGACAUGAAGGUCAGUCCAUCAUUACUUUAAGACAUGAAGGUCAGUCAAUACAACAGUCCAUCAUUACUUUAAGACAUGAAGGUCAGUCAAUACAACAGUCCAUCAUUACUUUA